UUUGCUGCGUCGCAUCAAUCUCUUUUACGUCACAUCAAUCAUUUUUCCCUUCCCUCCCGUGAUGCUUUCGGCCGGUGCAUGCAUUUGUUGUUUUGGCGCCACACGCGGAGAGAUCGCUGCUCUGCUGAAUAAAUUGAGGUCGCAGCAGCAGCAGAGCAGAGAAGGGAGAAGAGAAGGGAGCAGAGGAACGCGAGAAGCAUCAGCAGAAGAGGAGCAACGCAAGCACUUAAUUAGCUUUCGUACCGCCUUAAAUCAUUAUCAUGGCUCAUGGUGGUCUUCCCGAGCUUCUUCAGCAGCGGUACGACGAGAACCAUAGGGGAAGGAUGAUAUUCACAGGACAACAGUUGGGUCCGUUACGAGCCCGGAGUGUGCACAAGAUUAAGGAGUUGGACCCUCGAUUCCACGAGCCACUCGCACGGGCGGGACUACUACCUUUCGCUCUCAUGAUGGCCGGAGCUCCCAUGGAGGUCGGUGGUAGGACACCUCUCCCGGCAAUUGAUGAGGCACUGCUCACAGGUCUCGUCGACCGCUGGCGUCCUGAGACACACACUUUCCACUUUCCUUUUGGUGAGAUGGCAGUAACA